rnacentral:misc_RNA from 1 species
GAUGAAGAACGUAGCGAAAUGCGAUAAGUAAUGUGAAUUGCAGAAUUCAGUGAAUCAUCGAAUCUUUGAACGCACAUUGCGCCCUCUGGUAUUCCGGGGGGCAUGCCUGUUCGAGCGUCAUUAUAACCACUCAAGCUUUCGCUUGGUAUUGGGGCUCGCGGUUCCGCGGCCCCUAAAAUCAGAGGCGGUGCCUGUCGGCUCUACGCGUAGUAAUACUCCUCGCGAUUGAGUCCGGUAGGUCUACUUGCCAGCAACCCCCAAUUUUUACAGGUUGACCUCGGAUCAGGUAGGGAUACCCGCUGAACUUAAGCAUAUCAAUAAGCGGAGGA